rnacentral:rRNA from 1 species
UACGUAGGGUGCGAGCGUUAAUCGGAAUUACUGGGCGUAAAGCGUGCGCAGGCGGUUUUGUAAGCCAGGUGUGAAAUCCCCGGGCUCAACCUGGGAAUGGCAUUUGGGACUGCAAGGCUGGAGUGCGGCAGAGGAGACUGGAAUUCCUGGUGUAGCAGGUGAAAUGCGUAGAUAUCAGGAGGAAUACCGAUGGCGAAGGCAGGUCUCUGGGCUGAACACUGAC